CCUACGGGAGGCAGCAGUAAGGAAUAUUGGACAAUGGUCGCAAGACUGAUCCAGCCAUGCCGCGUGCAGGAUGACGGCCCUAUGGGUUGUAAACUGCUUUUAUACGGGAAAAAACCCCUCUACGUGUAGAGGGCUGAUUGUACUGUAAGAAUAAGGAUCGGCUAACUCCGUGCCAGCAGCCGCGGUAAUACGGAGGAUCCAAGCGUUAUCCGGAUUCAUUGGGUUUAAAGGGUGCGUAGGCGGAAUAAUAAGUCAGUGGUGAAAGCCCUCAGCUUAACUGAGGAACUGCCAUUGAUACUGUUAAUCUUGAGUAUAUUUGAUGUGGGCGGAAUGUGUCAUGUAGCGGUGAAAUGCUUAGAUAUGACACAGAACACCGAUUGCGAAGGCAGCUCACAAAACUAUAACUGACGCUGAGGCACGAAAGCGUGGGUAUCAAACAGGAUUAGAUACCCUGGUAGUCCACGCUGUAAACUAUGAUUACUCGAUGUUUGCGAUACACUGUAAGCGUCUAAACGAAAGCGAUAAGUAAUCCACCUGGGGAGUACGCCGGCAACGGUGAAACUCAAAUGAAUUGACGGCUGAAGAGNGCGAGGACGACGACGAGGGGAGGAGG
rnacentral:rRNA from 1 species